UGGCGGACGGGUGAGUAACGCGUAAAGAACUUGCCCUUUAGACUGGGAUAACAGAGGGAAACUUCUGAUAAUACUGGAUAAGUUAGUAUAUCGCGUGAUAUGCAAAUGAAAGCUACGGCACUAAAGGAGAGCUUUGCGUCCUAUUAGCUAGUUGGUAAGGUAAGAGCUUACCAAGGCGAUGAUAGGUAGCCGGCCUGAGAGGGUGGACGGCCACAAGGGGACUGAGAUACGGCCCUUACUCCUACGGGAGGCAGCAGCC
rnacentral:rRNA from 1 species